rnacentral:tRNA from 1 species
GGGCCCGUAGCUCAAUUGGAUAGAGCAUCUGCCUUCUAAGCAGGAGGUCGUGAGUUCAAAUCUCACCGGGCCCA